rnacentral:sRNA from 1 species
GCUACUGGCGCCGGGUCGGUCCGGGUAGGCGCAGCGGGACUGGACCUGGGUGCCGAGCGGAGCCGCUGCCAUGGGCCUGGGCGUCAGCGCUGAGCAGCCCGCAGGCGGCGCCGAGGGCUUCCACCUCCACGGGGUGCAGGAGAACUCCCCAGCCCAGCAGGCGGGCCUGGAGCCCUACUUUGACUUCAUCAUCACCAUUGGGCACUCGAGGCUGAACAAGGAGAAUGACACCCUGAAGGCACUACUGAAAGCCAAUGUGGAGAAGCCCGUGAAGCUGGAGGUGUUCAAUAUGAAGACCAUGAGGGUGCGCGAGGUGGAGGUGGUGCCCAGCAACAUGUGGGGCGGCCAGGGCCUACUGGGUGCCAGUGUGCGCUUCUGCAGCUUCCGCAGGGCCAGUGAGCAGGUGUGGCAUGUGCUGGUGAGUGUGGGGUAUGGCAGGGCAGGGUGUGUCGGAAGGAUGAGUUUACUGGGGCAGGUCUGGGUGUGGGCGGGGUGUGA